rnacentral:rRNA from 1 species
GGUGCCGAGUGGUAAAGCAAGGAGUUAUGGCGUUGCGAACUUUGUCGCACAACGCCAAACAAAAAGCCAACACAUGCAAGGGGAAAGAACAUUAAGUGCUGAGUGCAAAACUAGUGGCGGACGGGUGAGUAACGCGUGGGCAACCUACCCAUAAGAGGGGGAUAACAGCUGGAAACGGCUGCUAAUACCGCAUAAGCUUAGCUGGACGCAUGUUUGGUUAAGUAAAGGAGGCUUAGGCUUCCGCUUAUGGAUGGGCCCGCGUCUGAUUAGCUAGUUGGUAGGGUAACGGCCUACCAAGGCGACGAUCAGUAGCCGGCCUGAGAGGGUGUACGGCCACACUGGGACUGAGACACGGCCCAGACUCCUACGGGAGGCAGCAGUGGGGAAUAUUGCGCAAUGGGGGAAACCCUGACGCAGCGACGCCGCGUGAGCGAAGAAGGCCUUCGGGUUGUAAAGCUCUGUUGUAAGGGACGAAGGAUUGGGGUAGUAACUGACCCCAAGGUGACGGUACCUUACGAGGAAGCCCCGGCUAACUACGUG